rnacentral:rRNA from 1 species
AUACAUGCAGUCGAGCGAACAGAAGGGAGCUUGCUCCCGGAUGUUAGCGGCGGACGGGUGAGUAACACGUGGGUAACCUGCCUGUAAGACUGGGAUAACUCCGGGAAACCGGAGCUAAUACCGGAUAGUUCCUUGAACCGCAUGGGUCAAGGAUGAAAGACGGUUUCGGCUGUCACUUACAGAUGGACCCGCGGCGCAUUAUCUAGUUGGUGGGGUAAUGGCUCACCAAGGCGACGAUGCGUAGCCGACCUGAGAGGGUGAUCGGCCACACUGGGACUGAGACACGGCCCACACUCCUACGGGAGGCAGCAGUAGGGAAUCUUCCGCAAUGGACGAAAGUCUGACGGAGCAACGCCGCGUGAGUGAUGAAGGUUUUCGGAUCGUAAAGCUCUGUUGUUAGGGAAGAACAAGUGCGAGAGUAACUGCUCGCACCUUGACGGUACCUAACCAGAAAGCCACGGCUAACUACGUGCCAGCAGCCGCGGUAAUACGUAGGUGGCAAGCGUUGUCCGGAAUUAUUGGGCGUAAAGGGCUCGCAGGCGGUUUCUUAAGUCUGAUGUGAAAACCCCCGGCUCAACCGGGGAGGGUCAUUGGAAACUGGGAAACUUGAGUGCAGAAGAGGAGAGUGGAAUUCCACGUGUAGCGGUGAAAUGCGUAGAGAUGUGGAGGAACACCAGUGGCGAAGGCGACUCUCUGGUCUGUAACUGACGCUGAGGAGCGAAAGCGUGGGGAGCGAACAGGAUUAUAUACCCUGGUAGUCCACGCCGUAAACGAUGAGUGCUAAGUGUUAGGGGGUUUCCGCCCCUUAGUGCUGCAGCUAACGCAUUAAGCACUCCGCCUGGGGAGUACGGUCGCAAGACUGAAACUCAAAGGAAUUGACGGGGGCCCGCCCAAGCGGUGGAGCAUGUGGUUUAAUUGGAAGCAACGGGAAGAACCUUACCAGGUCUUGACAUCCUUUGACAACCCUAGAGAUAGGGCUUUCCCUUCGGGGACAGAGUGACCGGUGGUGCAUGGUUGUUGUCAGCUCGUGUCGUGAGAUGUUGGGUUAAGUCCCGCAACGAGCGCAACCCUUGAUUUUAGUUGCCAGCAUUUAGUUGGGCACUUUAAGGUGACUGCCGGUGACCAACCGGAGGAAGGUGGGGAUGACGUCAAAUCCUCCUGCCCCUUAUGACCUGGGCUACCCCCGUGGUUCAAUGGACAGAACCAAGGGGUGCAAGACCGCAAGGUUUAGCCAAUCCCAUAAAUCUGUUCUCAGUUCGGAUCGCAGUCUGCAACUUGACUGCCUGAAGCCGGAAUCGCUAUGUAAUCGCGGAUCAGCCUGCCGCGGUGAAUACGUUCCCGGGCCUUGUACACACCGCCCGUCACACGCCGAGAGUGUGCAACCCCCGAAGUCGGUGAGGUAACCUUUAGGAGCCAGCCGCCGAAGGUGGGACC